CUGCUAUUUUGCCCAGUUUCCAAACCCCGAUCUCUGAGUCAAUUUUAUGAGAUUGCUGGGCUCUGUUUGCUUGGCGACCUGGAAAUGCGCCCCAGGCUGCAAGCUGCUGCGACGAGAGGGCUCGCCUCGUUCGUUUCCCCUCAAGGUUGUUUGGUGGCGGUUGCCCCGUGGAGGACACCCGGACACCAGCUGGGAUAGCAGAAGGACAGCUGCCCCGUGCUGGGAGAAGCGUGCUUCCUGGGCAGGGAGAGCGCCACGAGGCAAGUGGAGAGCAAGGAAGAGACCGUGGGGCAGAGAGGACCCGCGCAGCCUCUCUCGAGAGCUGCUCAGUCUGCUCACACCGUGUCCACGCGGGCAUCCCUGGGCAGGCUGCCCCGGGCCCGGAUGCCAUCUGGGCCGCUUGCUCCUCCACCCUGCACCUGGCCCUCCCUGGGCCUCCAGCCCGAGU
rnacentral:lncRNA from 1 species